CACGUAGGAGGCGAGCGUUGUCCGGAAUCAUUGGGCGUAAAGAGCGCGCAGGCGGCUUGGCAAGUCGGGUGUGAAAUCCCACGGCUCAACCGUGGAAAGUGCACUCGAAACUGCAGGGCUAGAGUCCUGGAGAGGAAGGUGGAAUGCUUGGUGUAGAGGUGAAAUUCGUAGAUAUCAAGCGGAACACCGGUGGCGAAGGCGGCCUCUGGACAGUGACUGA
rnacentral:rRNA from 1 species